UACAGAGGUCCCAAGCGUUGUUCGGAUUCACUGGGCGUAAAGGGUGCGCAGGUGGUCGGGUAAGUCUGAUGUGAAAUCUCCGAGCUCAACUCGGAAAUGGCAUUGGAUACUAUUCGGCUAGAGGGUUGGAGGGGGGACUGGAAUUCUCGGUGUAGCAGUGAAAUGCGUAGAUAUCGAGAGGAACACCAGUGGCGAAGGCGAGUCCCUGGACAACUCCUGACGCUGAGGCACGAAAGCUAGGGGAGCAAACGGG
rnacentral:rRNA from 1 species